UACAGAGGUCUCAAGCGUUGUUCGGAUUCAUUGGGCGUAAAGGGUGCGUAGGAGGCGCGGUAAGUCGGGUGUGAAAUCUUGGAGCUUAACUCCGAAACUGCAUUCGAUACUGCCGUGCUUGAGGACUGGAGAGGAGACUGGAAUUUACGGUGUAGCGGUGAAAUGCGUAGAUAUCGUAAGGAAGACCAGUGGCGAAGGCGGGUCUCUGGACAGUUCCUGACGCUGAGGCACGAAGGCCAGGGGAGCAAACGGG
rnacentral:rRNA from 1 species